AUUGAACGCUGGCGGCAGGCCUAACACAUGCAAGUCGAGCGGAUGAAGGGAGCUUGCUCCUGGCUUCAGCGGCGGACGGGUGAGUAAUGCCUAGGAAUCUGCCUGCUAGUGGGGUAUCUCCUCGGGAAACGGGCUCUAAUCCCACAUACGCCCUGGGGGAAAACGGGGGGCCUUUUGGGCCCUCCCGCUAUCAGCUGCGCCUAGGUCGGAUUAGAUAGUUGGUGGGGUAAAGGCCUACCAAGGCGACGAUCCGUAACUGGUCUGAGAGGAUGAUCAGUCACACUGGAACUGAGACACGGUCCAGACUCCUACGGGAGGCAGCAGUGGGGAAUAUUGGACAAUGGGCGAAAGCCUGAUCCAGCCAUGCCGCGUGUGGGAAGAAGGUCUUCGGAUUGUAAAGCGCUUUAGGUUGGGAGGAAGGGCAGUAAGUUAAUACCCGGCUGUUUUGACGGUACCGACAGAAUAAGCACCGGCUAACUUCGUG
rnacentral:rRNA from 1 species